rnacentral:rRNA from 1 species
GGGAAGAAGCGAAAGUGACGGUACCUGCAGAAGAAGCGCCGGCUAACUACGUGCCAGCAGCCGCGGUAAUACGUAGGGCGCGAGCGUUGUCCGGAAUUAUUGGGCGUAAAGAGCUCGUAGGCGGCUUGUCGCGUCGGUUGUGAAAGCCCGGGGCUUAACCCCGGGUCUGCAGUCGAUACGGGCAGGCUAGAGUUCGGUAGGGGAGAUCGGAAUUCCUGGUGUAGCGGUGAAAUGCGCAGAUAUCAGGAGGAACACCGGUGGCGAAGGCGGAUCUCUGGGCCGAUACUGACGCUGAGGAGCGAAAGCGUGGGGAGCGAACAGGAUUAGAUACCCUGGUAGUCCACGCCGUAAACGGUGGGCACUAGGUGUGGGCGACAUUCCACGUCGUCCGUGCCGCAGCUAACGCAUUAAGUGCCCCGCCUGGGGAGUACGGCCGCAAGGCUAAAACUCAAAGGAAUUGACGGGGGCCCGCACAAGCGGCGGAGCAUGUGGCUUAGUUCGACGCAACGCGAAGAACCUUACGAAGGCUUGACAUACACCG